rnacentral:rRNA from 1 species
UACGGGGGGUGCUAGCGUUACUCGGAAUCAUUGGGCGUAAAGGGCGCGUAGGCGGCCUGGUAAGUCAGAUGUGAAAGCCCGGGGCUCAACCCCGGAAGUGCAUUUGAUACUGCCAGGCUUGAGUAUGGGAGAGGGAAGUGGAAUUCCUGGUGUAGAGGUGAAAUUCGUAGAUAUCAGGAGGAACACCGGUGGCGAAGGCGACUUCCUGGACCAAUACUGACGCUGAGGCGCGAAGGCGUGGGGAGCAAACAGG